rnacentral:tRNA from 1 species
GCGGGCGUGAUGGAAUGGUAGACAUAUCGGACUUAAAAUCCGUGGGCCGUCAGGCCGUGUGGGUUCGAGUCCCACCGCCCGCACCA